AGUAAUACAUCGGAACGUGCCCGAGAGUGGGGGAUAACGAAGCGAAAGCUUUGCUAAUACCGCAUACGAUCUCAGGAUGAAAGCAGGGGACCGCAAGGCCUUGCGCUCACGGAGCGGCCGAUGGCAGAUUAGGUAGUUGGUGGGAUAAAAGCUUACCAAGCCGACGAUCUGUAGCUGGUCUGAGAGGACGACCAGCCACACUGGGACUGAGACACGGCCCAG
rnacentral:rRNA from 1 species